rnacentral:rRNA from 1 species
UCAUCCCUACGGGGGGCAGCAGUGGGGAAUAUUGCACAAUGGGGGAAACCCUGAUGCAGCGACGCCGCGUGAGCGAAGAAGUAUUUCGGUAUGUAAAGCUCUAUCAGCAGGGAAGAAAAAGGACGGUACCUGACUAAGAAGCCCCGGCUAACUACGUGCCAGCAGCCGCGGUAAUACGUAGGGGGCGAGCGUUAUCCGGAUUUACUGGGUGUAAAGGGGGCGCAGACGGCCAUGGCAAGCCCGGUGUGAAAGGUGCGGGCACAACCCGCAGACUGCACUGGUAACUGCCUGGCUGGUGUGCCGGG